CCGAGCGCUCCCCUGAGCGCGUGGUCCUGGUCGCGAGCACAUGGAAGUGAGGUCGAGAUUUGUCUGUGAGACGCGACUGAUCAUCAGAGAGAAAAAAAAGGGAUUAUAAAGCAGGAAAGAAGCAGCAGAAUCAGCACGAACAGCGCGUCGACUGGAAAUGUGUUUUCUCUUGACACGUGGCGUCACUGCUUUUACAGCCUCUCAGCUGCCAGAGAUGUCGACCUCUGCACGGCGCGUAGAAGAGCCUUAAAGUCCACACAGGUAAUCUGUGUUUUGGGACCAAACAGUUCUGGGAGCUUUCUGAGGAGGAUCUAUCCUCCGGGGAGUUCCCUGAGAUCUACACACCAUGAGGACUCUAUGGUGCUGGGAGAUUACCUACUCUGAAGGAGGAUCUAAAAGGUUCUUCCAAACGGGGUUAUUGGAACUGAAAGAGGCCGGGAGACGCGGCCUGCAAUCACACAGUCGGCAUCAGAGAUGACUGAAGAGGCCGGUCUGAAUGGGAAGGAUGCAAAAGGUGGAAGCAGCUCAUUCGCUUUUUCUGAGUCGCAAUGAAACACACACGACAUGCACACACAGACACACACACACAGACACACACACACACAGACUGCGUGGCUUUAAUACUCUCCACUUCCCCCUUUCUGUGAGAGGACACUGAGACACCCUGAAUGGGCCCCUGUCGUGAUCUGCACUGUGGUCGGGAAGUACCUAGUGUUACAACUGUCACGCUGCUCUGCUUAAAGGGACAGUGAUCACUUUCAUAUGUCAUAUUUUAAACAGUUUGGAGGACAGAGAUCAGUCAUUGCAGAAUCAUUGCAGGGGUCCAAGACUCAGACAGCUAGUCAAGAUACUCUCGUUGUUGUUUUUGGAGAGAAUACAUUUUUUUUAAUCAGAAAUGAAAGUAAAGUAAGAAGUUGAAUCUGUCGAUGAUGAGCAUGAAUCUCUGUAUAUUUUAGUUUUUUUUUGCUUGAAUGUGAGCAUGCACUGCAGCUGAGUUUUGUGUUACAAAAGUCUGUGAAAAAACCUGCAGAUUUAUAUUCUAUUGCUGUGGCAUCUGAUAUCCUAAUUUAGACACCUAAGAUCCCAACCCAAGCGUCUGGAUCUAGUCGUGCAGAUCUAGGAAAGCCGGUGACAGUCAGGACUCCUUGGUCCUCUUCCAGUUUUAUUUGAUUUUCUAGUGUUUUUGGGGUCGCCGAAAAAAUAUGCAAACUAGAGUUUAUCGCUAAAGACUCGAGAACUACUUGUAAAUGGCCAGAGCCAACGACUCCACUAACAUUUUACGGUUUGACACGCUGCAGUAUUUUUCUCUCUCCUGUUAGUCUCCUUAUGUACAUCCUCUGAUCCUGACAUAAAUCACAAACCUGGACUCAUCAGCUAAUAGGCCUUUUUCUAUCCAACCGUCCGACUCAAAUCUGCUGGAUCUACAAUCAAUGGAGUCAUGAGAAACUGAAGUAUGAUAUGAUAUAAUGUGUAACCCCAAGAAACUCAUUUGUUCUUAAAUCCACACACAUCUUUUUUUUGCAUCUAAUGUCCACAUGGGUGUUUUUUUUUGUUUUUUUUCACGCACUUUAUAAAGUUAAAUGUUUUGUAAAACUGCACACUUUGUAUGAAUAAAUGUUUCACUCCAG